GGGUCUCCUACCAGAAAGCCAUGUUCAUAUUUCUCAGCAAUGCUGGAGCAGAAAGGAUCACAGAUGUGGCUUUGGAUUUCUGGAGGAGUGGAAAGCAGAGGGAAGACAUCAAGCUCAAAGACAUUGAACACGCCUUGUCUGUGUCGGUUUUCAAUAACAAGAACAGUGAGUAGGGCCAUCCACCGCCAGUCCCAUCUGGUUCCUAAUCCUGCACCCUAAGUGUUAAAAGCAUCAGGGUCACUGUCAGCAUCUCCUGGGAGCUGGGUAGAAAGAAAUGCAGAUUCUCAGUCCCCUUCCGAGUCAUGAGGGGAAUCUUUGCUGACAAACUCCAGGUGGCUUCUGGCACAGCAGCUUAAUUGACCGGAACCUCAUUGAUUAUUUUGUUCCCUUCCUCCCCCUGGAAUACAAACACCUAAAAAUGUGUAUCCGAGUGGAAAUGCAGUCCCGAGGCUAUGAAAUUGAUGAAGACAUUGUAAGCAGAGUGGCUGAGGAGAUGACAUUUUUCCCCAAAGAGGAGAGAGUUUUCUCAGAUAAAGGUUGCAAAACGGUGUUCACCAAGUUAGAUUAUUACUACGAUGAUUGACAGUCAUGAUUGGCAGCCGGAGUCACUGCCUGGAGUUGGAAAAGAAACAACACUCAGUCCUUCCACACUUCCACCCCCAGCUCCUUUCCCUGGAAGAGGAAUCCAGUGAAUGUUCCUGUCUGAUGUGACAGGAAUUCCCCCUGGCAUUGUUUCCACCCCCUGGUGCCUGCAGGCCACCCAGGGACCACGGGCAAGGACGUGAAGCCUCCCAAACACGCACAGAAGGAAGGAGCCAGCUCCCAGCCCACUCAUAGCAGGGCUCAUGAUUUUUUACAAAUUAUGUUUUAAUUCCAAGUGUUUCUGUUUCAAGGAAGGAUGAAUAAGUUUUAUUGAAAAUGUGGUAACUAUUUAAAAUGAUUUUU
rnacentral:sRNA from 1 species